AGAGUGUGUGAAAUUUUGUGUGUGAAUAACUCUGACACGGGUGUGUUUGUGAUUGUGCACUGUGCUAGAAAUUGGAGUGAGUACUGCUGGAGGAGUGCGUAACAAAGUGUGUAUAAACCAAUGACCAGAAAAAAAGAAUGAUAAAAAAUGAAAAGAAAUCAAAAUGUAAUGGCUUUAUAAAAGUAAUGAAAAAAGAAAUGGAAUGAUACAAAAAUUUAUAUGACAAGAAUAUUACAAAAAAAUAUAUAUAUAUAGUUUAAGUGCUAAUUGUGAAAAAUCCAAAAGCUAAACAAUUCGGGUUUCCAAGAAAAAAGUGAAAUAAAACUAACAAGCAAUGCGUUUAUUGACCACCGAAAUACAACAACGAGGCUCAUAAAACCCACAUUUCAUAUUCAAACUAAAAUUAAAAAAAGAAACGUAACGUCAAUCAUUCAACAUUCAUACCAAGUAAAAAAAAGUUCAAAAAAUUAUAAACCACAUUCAUAAAGGAAAAAAGUGAAAAUCCAACAUCCAACGUUAUAAAUUCCAUUUCAUCAUGGAUUAGUGUUUGAAAGCAUCAUCCGAAGAACAUUUUCUUCUUUUCGCUAUUGCAACUACCGCUUACCAACAUCACCAAUCAUCGUCUCAACGGAUACGUACUAAGAGUGAGAAACUCCUUCAUUUUCAUCUCCAGAUAGCAGUUAUACACACAUAGAACAGAGACCAACAGCAGGAGCGGCAGCGGCAGGGGCAUUCAAUCACUCCAUGCAACGUGAUGUCAACAACGAAUCAGUGGAUCAGUCACCACAUCUGAGCGCGGACAACAGUUUUACAAUCAAUGGAAUCUAGGCCUGCAGAAAUGACAACCAUCUCCAACUAUCUACACUGAUGUGGGCGGAGGAGAGGAGGCUGUGUGUUGUUGUGGCUACGCGGUAAUUUCAACUUCCCCCCACCACCACCACCACCACCACCACAUCCAUUGUCGUCACCACAUAGUAUGUCAUGUUCGCGAGUGAAAAAGCAAAAGCAGCGAGAGAAUUUUUUUGAAUGUGUUGUGUUGUUGGUCAUCGUCGAUGGACUACUACUACUACGACUACCACUACAACUACUAGGGAAAUUGCAGCCACACAUACUACAUUCACAUUCGGAUUCGGAUUCAAAUUCAAAUUCACAUACAGCAGCGGCAACACACACACAUAUGUAUCAUUAAUGCAGCUCAACUCAACAGCAUUGUGUACAACCGAAACGUGCCACAAAUACGCCGUCGUGUCGUCGUCGUCAUCACGUUACCAAUACCACUAAAUGCAGUGGAAGAAGAAGUUUACUCGAUUGAAAGCAGCUACAGGACAUUCGCGUGCGCGAAGAAUGCUUUGUUGUGGACGAA
rnacentral:sRNA from 1 species